rnacentral:lncRNA from 1 species
AAUCGCAUGGGCGAUCAACAACCAAGAUUUGGCCAAGUAGCUGCCCAACCACCAUUGCAGCAUACAUGCAUUGCAUGUGGCAGCCAUGCAUGCCCUAUUAGGCAGACGUGAUGGAAGGGAUGGCUCGUCCUUCCAUCAGUCGAGUUGUGACCUCGCGUAGAGCCACGCACACUGCUGCCUGACUUGAUAGUGCACAAGCUCGCCAUUGUGCAGGCGCCCACCAGUAGCCUUAUGCGAUAGCAUGUGCAACGCCUAGGCAUGCGCGUAGGCUAUCACGCACACCCUAUCAUGUCAAGUGAUAGCCAACGUGAGCAUGUAGGCGUGCACGAGCUCGUUGACCGUUUCGGUUGAUCGGAUUUU